CCAGUUGGAGUGCCCUAGAGAAUCACCAGAGGGCACUCCACAUCUGAACUGAUCACUCCCACCAGAACUCCGUUUCCCAUAAUGCCUCUUCCCUGUGACUGAUUACACACACACCUGCACCUCAUUUCAGACUGCCUAUAUAAGCUACACUCAUACAAGGACUCUUUGCGAAGUAUUGCAUUGCCACGGCUUGUAAUUUCUGAGCGUAUCUCCUGUUUCUGGUUUCUCUGGUUUUGAUCCUGGUUUGUUUCCUGACUGCUGCCUGUUUGCUGCCUGCCCUGAUCUUCUGCCUGUUACCUGACGACUCUCUGCGCUCACUCUCUGAUAUCCCUGUUUUGCUGUUUCCUGACCCCUGCCUGUUUGAUGAUUCUAAAUAAAGCUGCACAUGGAUCUCAUCUCAUCUCCAGCUUUGUAACAGUAAAUAUGUGUCAUCUUUCAGGAUUUCUGCAAGACGAGGGCCGUUCCCACAUGUCUUCUCCUCAACCUGAAAUACCACCCAUAAGCAUGUGCAGACACACAUCAGCCAGGGUCAGAUUAUAAAAGAGCGUGUACUAUACAUUGAAGAGGAUCCUGGCUGGUCUCGCUGCCUGCCCAGCUCUGGAUGAGGGCGAAUGAAGGGGUGUGUGUGUUUUGCUCCUGAAACACACUCAGUAGCUUACUGACUGAGUUGACAACAAGCAUGUGUGUGGUGUUCACAAUCAGAUAAUCAGCCAUUCUGAUGAAACUAUGGAGACCAAGAAAAAUAUUAGACAGUUCACCAAGAAAAUUAGUUUUUUUGUAACUUA